GACGAACGCUGGCGGCGUGCUUAACACAUGCAAGUCGAACGGAAAGGCUCCAGCUUGCUGGAGUACUCGAGUGGCGAACGGGUGAGUAACACGUGGGUGAUCUGCCCUGCACUUCGGGAUAAGCCUGGGAAACUGGGUCUAAUACCGGAUAGGACCGCACUUUGGUGUGUGUGGUGGAAAGGUUUUUCUGGUGUGGGAUGAGCUCGCGGCCUAUCAGUUUGUUGGUGGGGUAAUGGCCUACCAAGACGGCGACGGGUAGCCGGCCUGAGAGGGUGGACGGUCACAUUGGGACUGAGAUACGGCCCAGACUCCUACGGGAGGCAGCAGUGGGGAAUAUUGCACAAUGGGGGAAACCCUGAUGCAGCGACGCCGCGUGGGGGAUGAAGGCCUUCGGGUUGGAAACUCCUUUCGCUAGGGACGAAGCUUUUUGUGACGGUACCUGGAGAAGAAGCACCGGCUAACUACGUG
rnacentral:rRNA from 1 species